AUACGGAGGAUGCGAGCGUUAUCCGGAUUCAUUGGGUUUAAAGGGUGCGCAGGCGGACUAAUAAGUCAGUGGUGAAAUCCCAUAGCUCAACUAUGGAACUGCCAUUGAUACUGUUAGACUAGAGUAUAAUUGACGUAGGCGGAAUGCGGCAUGUAGCGGUGAAAUGCUUAGAUAUGUCGCAGAACACCGAUUGCGAAGGCAGCUUACGAAACUAUAACUGACGCUCAUGCACGAAAGCGUGGGGAUCAAACAGGAUUAGAUACCCUGGUAGUCCACGCCCUAAACGAUGAUUACUCGUUGUUGGCCUGCACAGGUCAGUGGCUAAGGGAAACCGAUAAGUAAUCCACCUGGGGAGUACGAUCGCAAGGUUGAA
rnacentral:rRNA from 1 species